CGGGACGUAGCGCAGCCUGGUAGCGCACCAGUCUGGGGGACUGGUGGUCGCCGGUUCGAAUCCGGCCGUCCCGACCA
rnacentral:tRNA from 1 species